CAGUUGGCAUCACUUGCUUGGGGGCUCCAGAACCAGAACAAGCCCCAACAUUUAGAUCAAUUUGUGUGUAGCGGCAUUCGAGUGUAAGUCCGGUCAAAAGCUAACGUGACCCCAGAGGCAAAAGAACACACAUUUGAAGGGCGCGCGCACUGCUCCAGCGAACCGUCCAUUCAUUCACCUGAUGGGCGACAGUGAUCACAUGAAGUAUAUGUACGCACGCUUGAAUCCACAUCCACGCACUGCUUUGGACUUACCCUCUUUUAGCGUUGCCAUCUUUUCUUCGGUGUGCCGUUAACAGUUAAUCAAACAACAGGAAGACUCAAAAAUAGCACAUAAACAGGACCGCCGACUUUUUUGCGUUGGCUAUUUGGCUCUAAACAAGCUUAAGGUUUCGGGAUUGAUUGCUGUUCAAACAAUCAACACUUGACUUGGCUAAAAUUUCAUAAACAAAGCCAAGAAAUGAUGCAAUUACAGCGGAGUUUUUAUUUUGGUUUUUUUGUUGUGCAAACGGUGCGUAAAGUUUGGUGUUUGGAUUGACUUGUUGGAGCGCGGAGCCCUGUUUGUGUUUGGUGUUUGGAUUAACUUGAUGUUGGAGCGCGGAGCCCUCCGAAAUUGAGUAAUGAAGCUAGCCGCGAUCGUACCCUGACUGCGGAGGUCGAGCGCAUAAAGCGUGCAUGAAGCGUCGGCGGCAGAGCCCGUGGGAACAACAACAACCAGCGACGCUUUGUAAACUGGCAAACCAGUGAUCGGCACCAGGAGCGGAUCCAACGUAAGCGGCGAGAGCGGCGAAAGAAAUGCUGUUACCUUACCUUCCAUUCAACAUCAUUUCAUACCCUUGCCGAAGCCAACUGAAAAAACUGCAGUGUAUUCAUAUGUAAGAAAAUCAGAAGGAAUAUUCCACCAACGAAGCUAGAAGGGAGGGUUUUUAUUAGUUGAGAGAAAGCGAAAUGAGGUUUGUUUUUAUAAUAAUUUAUUACGUGUACAGCAUUUUCAAUAAUUUUAUUAUUUUGCCUUGAUUGUUUUCGCCCCUCCCCAUUGUGGGGCUUCGGCGAUUGUUUGAAACUAACAGCCAGUCUACAAUGCUCUACUGCCACUGAUUCGAUUAGGUGUCUAAUUUGUAUUUAUUGUUAAGUUUCUUUAAAUAAAAAAGCUAUGGGCCCCCCACCCUUGAGGGCUGAA